ACGACCGAUGAUGAGAUCUGGUGGCUUUUGAGUGAUACUCGAUGAAAGCCUGGUAUCCAGAAAUCUGAGGUCAUU
ensembl:snoRNA